ensembl:lncRNA
GUCUGAUGCUCAGCUCAGGUCCCAGCCAGUAAUAAACUCCUGUGUGGAUUUGGUAUCAGUCUCUGGUUGGUUCUUUCUCACUGGGUGCAACAUUCUUAGAGGCCCCAGUGAGAUAGCCAGCUGCUCUGGAACUUAUUAUCUUGGAUCCAUUGUUUCUUUUUAGAAAAGACCAGGAUUGGACAUCCGCAGUGUUCGGCCCCUCUGAACACCGGUCUGUGGAAGGAGAGGGCACCCUGAUGGUAUUCUGGGGCUCGGCCACCCUGACGGUAUUUAGGCCAGUCCCAGCCGGGCCCUAUCACCGAUCAACCGACCCGCAGGAGUUUAUUGGGAAAGCCUCUAGAGACAAGGAAGAUGAAUAUGGCAUGAACCUGGGAUGAUUGCCAGCAGCUUUUACAGAUCCUGUUCACCACUGAGGAACGGACCGCAUUUAACAACAAGCAGUCAAAGAGGCCCUGGGGCCAAACCCCAGCAUCACUCCUGGAACUCCAGGGCAUUUGGCCAGGGCUGAAACAGUAGUUCCGUCGUGACACCCCAAAUGGGACCCCAGUGAUGAUGAUGUCUCUUCAAGCCUUACAGAUUCUUCAGAGUGAGAUCCAGGCUACAAGACAACAGGCUCGAGAAAAAGCCUCUGCGACAUUCCAGCCCCAUGGUUUCAAGUCAGGAGACCUGGUCCUGAUAUGCUUGGUCUGCUUGCACCGAGGACUUGACUAUUUAAAUACAUUCCCAAAUCAAUCUUGGCUACCCAAUCUGCCACUUUAUUUUGUGUCAUGGUGUAUGUUUUCCACAAGUCUUGUAUUAUAAUAAAAAAGGAGGCCGCGAACAUCUGGGAUUAACCACUGAACACUAUAGGAGUAAAUGGGCUGCCCCCGUUUUAGUGCCCAUUCUGGUGGGAUUAGGAAUAGCCAGGUCAGCGGCUAUUGGAACUUCCUCCCUGAUCCUUCAGGACAAAUUUUAAAGCCCUAAGCCACCAGGUAGCCAGAGAUUUGGGUUGCCUGAAAGACUUGAUCUCUAGAUUAAAAAACCAGGUUGAUUCCCUAGCUGAGAUGGUCCUACAAAUCAAAGGGGACUUGACCUCCUGUUCAUGAAACAAAAAGGGUUAUGUGUAGCCCUAAAAAAACCCAAAAACCUGUUGCUUCUAUGCUAAUGGUUAACUACCCUAGUUUCUGCUAUAGCAGGCCCCCUAGUUAUCUUACUUCUGCUUUUGCUCGUGAGACCUUACAUUACAAAUGCUCUGACUAAAUACAUUAGACAGAGGGUUGAUACAGUUAAACUGGUGGUGUUGAGACAAAAUUAUGAAAUUUUAAAAGACGUUUUAAAAAAAAUUCAAAGAGUAAAUAUAGGAAUCAAAGAUUUGAUUAAGUUACAAGAACCAGUGGGGCAGGAAAGACCCUGGUUAGCAAGACAGACUCCAUAUUGCUGCUUGACCCACCUGUCUGCCCUUUAGAUGAACUCAGAAGGAGGAAGCUUAAAAACCUCCUCCCCUUUGAAAGCCUCUUUAGAACUAACAAUUAAUCAACUAUUGUAUUACAAAUGUUCUAACAGCAGGACGUUCUGCUUCUGUACCUUUUGCUUGCUUUACUAGUUCUAUCUCAUAGGGGGGCCUAGAAACUGUUGGCCUCAAAGGUGUAUAAAACAUGUUUGUCUUCCCCCAGUUGAGGCUCGAGUCUGAUGCUCGGCUCGAGUCCCAGCCAGUAAUAAACUCCUGUGUGGAUUUAA